UACGGAGGGUGCAAGCGUUAUCCGGAUUCACUGGGUUUAAAGGGUGCGUAGGCGGUCUGACAAGUCUGAUGUGAAAUCUAUGGGCUCAACCCAUAGUCUGCAUCGGAAACUGUCGGGCUUGAGUAUGGGAGAGGUGAGUGGAAUUUCCGGUGUAGCGGUGAAAUGCGUAGAUAUCGGAAGGAACACCUGUGGCGAAAGCGGCUCACUGGACCAUUACUGACGCUGAGGCACGAAAGCUAGGGGAGCAAACAGG
rnacentral:rRNA from 1 species